rnacentral:rRNA from 1 species
GAUGAACGCUGGCGGCGUGCCUAAUACAUGCAAGUCGAGCGAACGGACGAGAAUUUUUCGGCUCUGAUGUUAGCGGCGGACGGGUGAGUAACACGUGGAUAACCUACCUAUAAGCCUGGGAUAACUUCGGGAAACCGGAGCUAAUACCGGAUGAUAUUUUGAACCGCAUGGGUCAAAAGUGGAUGACGGUCUUGCUGUCAGUUAUGGAUGGAUCCGCGCUGCAGUAGCAAGUGGGUAAGGUAACGGCUUUCCAAGGCAACGAUGGCGAGGCGAACCGGGGGGGUGGUUGGCCCCCCUGGCACGGAGCGACCGACCAGGCACCCUCGGGAGGGAGCCGUCGGGGAUGUUUCGCAAUGGGCGGAAGCCUGCCGGAGCCACGGCGCGCGAGUGAUGAAGGUCUUCGGAUCGUAAAACUCUGUUAUUAGGGGGGAACAUAUGUGUAAGUAACUGUGGCCAUCUUGACGGUACCUGAUCAGAAAGCCCCGGCUAACUACGUG